rnacentral:rRNA from 1 species
ACUCAAAUGAAUAGACGGGGGCCCGCACAAGCGGUGGAGCAUGUGGUUUAAUUCGAUGCAACGCGAAGAACCUUACCUGCUCUUGACAUCUGCGGAAUCUUCCAGAGAUGGGAGAGUGCCUUCGGGAGCCGCAAGACAGGUGCUGCAUGGCUGUCGUCAGCUCGUGUCGUGAGAUGUUGGGUUAAGUCCCGUAACGAGCGCAACCCUUGUCCCUAGUUGCCAGCGAGUAAAGUCGGGAACUCUAGGGAGACUGCCGGUGACAAACCGGAGGAAGGUGGGGAUGACGUCAAGUCAUCAUGGCCCUCAUGAGCAGGGCUACACACGUGCUACAAUGGCCGGUACAAAGGGUUGCUAACCCGCGAGGGGGCGCUAAUCCCAAAAAACCGGUCGUAGUCCAGAUUGGAGUCUGCAACUCGACUCCAUGAAGCCGGAAUCGCUAGUAAUCGUGGAUCAGAACGCCGCGGUGAAUACGUUCCCGGGCCUUGUACACACCGCCCGU